GACGAACGCUGGCGGCGUGCUUAACACAUGCAAGUCGAACGGAAAGGCCCUGCUUUUGUGGGGUGCUCGAGUGGCGAACGGGUGAGUAACACGUGAGUAACCUGCCCUUGACUUUGGGAUAACUUCAGGAAACUGGGGCUAAUACCGGAUAGGAGCUCCUGCUGCAUGGUGGGGGUUGGAAAGUUUCGGCGGUUGGGGAUGGACUCGCGGCUUAUCAGCUUGUUGGUGGGGUAGUGGCUUACCAAGGCUUUGACGGGUAGCCGGCCUGAGAGGGUGACCGGCCACAUUGGGACUGAGGUACGGCCCAGACUCCUACGGGAGGCAGCAGUGGGGAAUAUUGCACAAUGGGCGUAAGCCUGAUGCAGCAACGCCGCGUGCGGGAUGACGGCCUUCGGGUUGUAAACCGCUUUCGCCUGUGACGAAGCGUGAGUGACGGUAAUGGGUAAAGAAGCACCGGCUAACUACGUGCCAGCAGCCGCGGUGAUACGUAGGGUGCGAGCGUUGUCCGGAUUUAUUGGGCGUAAAGGGCUCGUAGGUGGUUGAUCGCGUCGGAAGUGUAAUCUUGGGGCUUAACCCUGAGCGUGCUUUCGAUACGGGUUGACUUGAGGAAGGUAGGGGAGAAUGGAAUUCCUGGUGGAGCGGUGGAAUGCGCAGAUAUCAGGAGGAACACCAGUGGCGAAGGCGGUUCUCUGGGCCUUUCCUGACGCUGAGGAGCGAAAGCGUGGGGAGCGAACAGGCUUAGAUACCCUGGUAGUCCGCGCUGUAAACGGUGGGUACUAGGUGUGGGGUCCAUUCCACGGGUUCCGUGCCGUAGCUAACGCUUUAAGUACCCCGCCUGGGGAGUACGGCCGCAAGGCUAAAACUCAAAGGAAUUGACGGGGCCCCGCACAAGCGGCGGAGCAUGCGGAUUAAUUCGAUGCAACGCGUAGAACCUUACCUGGGUUUGACAUGGAUCGGGAGUGCUCAGAGAUGGGUGUGCCUCUUUUGGGGUCGGUUCACAGGUGGUGCAUGGCUGUCGUCAGCUCGUGUCGUGAGAUGUUGGGUUAAGUCCCGCAACGAGCGCAACCCUUGUUCACUGUUGCCAGCACGUUAUGGUGGGGACUCAGUGGAGACCGCCGGGGUCAACUCGGAGGAAGGUGGGGAUGACGUCAAGUCAUCAUGCCCCUUAUGUCCAGGGCUUCACGCAUGCUACAAUGGCUGGUACAGAGAGUGGCGAGCCUGUGAGGGUGAGCGAAUCUCGGAAAGCCGGUCUCAGUUCGGAUUGGGGUCUGCAACUCGACCUCAUGAAGUCGGAGUCGCUAGUAAUCGCAGAUCAGCAACGCUGCGGUGAAAACGUUCCCGGGGCU
rnacentral:rRNA from 1 species